AACGUAGGGGGCCAGCGUUGCUCGGAAUUACUGGGCGUAAAGGGUCCGUAGGCGGUGUGGCAAGUUGGUAGUGAAAUCUCUGGGCUUAACCCAGAGGCUGCUGCCAAAACUGCCGUGCUAGAGUGUGAGAGAGGCGAGUGGAAUUACGGGUGUAGCGGUGAAAUGCGUAGAUAUCGGAAGGAACACCUGUGGCGAAAGCGGCUCACUGGACCAUAACUGACGCUGAGGCACGAAAGCUAGGGGAGCAAACAG
rnacentral:rRNA from 1 species